GAAUCUAGAAAAAAGACGAAAGAAUAAAAUCAAAGCAUCCUCGUCAAGAAGUGAUCUAACCUUUAGCCACAUUUUGGAAACACUGCUCAUUGUUCAACCUUAGAUAAUAAGACAAGCAACUAGUGGGCCAACAGAGCUCCUUUCUUUCUAGUUUGUUUCUGACAUUAGUUUCAUUGAUUCAUUAGUUAGCACUGAUUUCAUUGAUUCCUUCAGUUAGCAAGCAUUACGUGUUAUAAUGUAGGAGAAACUAAGAAAUAUGCUCUUAGUGAAAUAGCUACUUCACCCCCUUGGAGCACAAAAAUAUGUUUCCAUAAUCGGAUCAGUAAAAGAUCACGUCCCCAUUCCAAGGACAACAAAUGCAUUCUCCUGAUCUGGGAUUUCCUACCUCCAAGUAUCCAAGGAGCCUGCACAUGGUUUCCCAGGUCACUUAAAGAAAGUCCAUCCUUUGCUUAGCACUGUUGCCCAUUUCUUCACAGUGGAGUGAUAACAACUUGUGCUUGAGGUCCCUAGUACUGUAAUGAGAGAUGAUGAUGACAAGGAGGAGGAGGACAAUGACAAAGAUGAGGAUGAGGAGGUGAUGACGGUGCUGACUGAUCUUGUAUACUAUAAGAAUCACCACUGAAUGUGAGGCUCACUGGCAAUUUGACCAUGGUCAUUUAGGACAAGAAGGAUAAAGAUACCUUGUUCCACCCCUCCUUCCUAUUCCCCACCCCCACUUAUAUCUUACCUUUGGGGCUUCAGAUAGCUGUGUUAAAGAUCCUCAGGGAAAUAGUUUUAUACUCCCAAAUCCUCUCCACCUAAGAUAGUCAUAGAACCUGUGACAAGGCAGUAGAGACCUUUUCAUGAGCAACCAAUCAGAUUCCAAGAGGAGAGGAAGCUCCUACCUCCAGCUUCACUUCACUUCUUGCCCCCAUCAUUUGUACCCCACCCCUGUUCCCUAACAAACAUCAAGCAUUUUUCCAGGCAUGCAUUGUCUUUGUCCAUGGCCACUUCAGGACAAUAAAACAUGGUCUACCAGGCUUGGAGAGGGCAUUCAUGCACCAAACUAGGUGACAACAAAAGACAAUCAUGAAUUGUAGGGUAGAAUUGUAGGACCAGAACAGGCUCCAAGACCAUGGAAUCCAGCCUCCUCACCCUACAGACAAGGAAGCAGGCCUGGGGGUGUACCCAUGCUCGCAGAUACCACCCACAGCACCUGGUAGUUGAGGCCAAGCCCUCAACCCAAACUCCCUUCUCACGUGUUCACACACCUGCCUCUAUCAGCCUCUAAACUAACUGAAACACACUUAAAUAAUUUAAGGGCUUCAUUAUUUUUUUUCUUUGGAGAAAUAAAAAAUAAACCAGAAACAUUCCUCGUUAGCCAAGGCAGGCUCUGACAGAGCUUGGCAGCUGGGGAGUGUCUUUCUAAAUCAAGAAACACCACAUCUCUUUUGAAAGUGGGAGAAACAAUUUGUACCUCUUAAAUGUGAAGAGAUGCAUUUCUUUGCAUGAACAAAAUAACUGCCAAGAAAUUGCUCAAGGUAAAUGUUGGGCAAAAUAGUCCACAAAGCAAGAGAUAUCAUGCUUGUCAGAACCGUUUCCAAUGAGAAGAUAAGGCAGGGAAAUUGUUUUUCCAUUUGCAAAUAUGUUCUCCAAAUUUCCCCUGGAAAAUAAAUACACAUGAACUUGAGCAUGGAAAAGCUGAAUAUCCAAUUAUUUGAUAAAGAAAACAAGCUGAAAUGGGCUUAAGAGAAAACAAAUUAUUUACCUGAUGGCACAAGAUUUCCACCAUUACCCUCUGGGAUUGUAACCAAGAUCCCCAGUAGUGGAAUGAUGGCAACAUUAACUGCACACUGUGUUUAUCCACAUACACAAAUGGUGUGAAGAUAAUGAGGUCAUGUGUGAAGAAACACCUAUGGGGCCUCAUUUAGUCUUGUUUAUUUUUUAAAUACCUAUGACAGAUCAAAAUUAUACUUAUUCUGCGCAUAUAUGAUACAGAAAUGUCAACUAGUUCUCACAGUCUCAUAGGCGAAGUCACGCUGAUGAGCAACUGAGAGCUGGAAGCCAGCACUGUGCUGGCAGAGAUGCACCUUGGGUACCAGAUGCACCUGGAUGUGAACGUGUUUAAUGUCCAAAGACCUUAGGCGUGGAAGUAAAGGUAUUGCUGUGAUAAACACCGUGACCAAGGGUGUUUAGCUGGCUUACACUGACUGCAGUCUGCCACUGAGGCAAGCCAAAGCAAGAACUCAAGGGGGGGGGGAGGGAGUCCAGAGCUAGGAACUGACGUAGAGACACAGAAGGACACAGCUUGCUUGUUGGCUUGAUCCUAAUAGCUUCCUGGCUUUUUUAUAGAACCCAUGACCCCCUGCCCAUCAGUGUCGAUACCCUCCCACAACAAUUGUUAAUCAAAAAAAAAAAAAAAGAAAGAAAGAAAGAAAGAAAGAAAGAAGAAGAAAAAAGAAAAACAACGCCCAACAGGCUUGCCUCCAGGACAACCUGAUGGAGGCAUUUUCUCAGUUGAGGUUCCUUCUUCCCAGAUUGUAAGAGAAACUGAAGCCAGCCUACCCAAGCCACAGUCGCCCUGUCCCGGGAGCCUAGGCCAGCCUGCACACACAUGCACAGAUGACACUUCCUUCCCUGAGUCAAGCUGCCAAGCCUGCUUCAAGGCCCAGAGAAGCUGCUGGAGAGACACCUGACCUGGAGACACCAAUGGGAAAAGGACAUGGGGCAGAGUCAGCACCUGAGCCAAUGGGACCUUGGGAGUGGGUAUAAAGGCAGGCCUAACUUCCUUAAUAAAUGAGUCUGCAGCUGGGAUACUCACUCCCAGUGCCUGAGUCAUUGGUGCUGCAUCAUCUCACCCCCUCCCCCAAGGGGUGUCUGAGCAGGGUCACCCGAAACACCAGAUGACCGACUCUAGCUUGUAUCAAGCUGACAAAAACCUAACCAGCACAGACAGCAAUAGAAUGGCUUUCCAGGAUCAUAUCCCAACUGCAUGCUUAGGUCGUGCUCAAGCAGGGCAGGCCUGUGCCAAUACCCCAAAAGGGAGUACUUCAUACACAUGACUCACCCUCUCUCUGGCCAGCCCCACAUGAGAAGACCAGCACACCCGCCAACAAGCUGCUUUCAGAGAUGGCCAUCAUUUCAGGGAAACCAAGGCAGCAGCUGGGGCAGCUGGUCACGGUGCAUCCUUGGUCAAGAGCGAAGAGAGACAAACGCAGCCUUGCUUGCUUGCUGCAUAGCUAGCUUCCUCCACUCUUCACAGCCUAGCUCGUGACAUGGUGCUGUCCAUGUCCAGGAGAAAGGUCCAGGAACCUGCUACUCCUCUAGCAUCCUACAUGGCAACUGCUCUCUACCUACACAUCAGAAUCCUCCUCAUCUCCGAGACCUGCCUAUCUUGUUGCCCUAUUGGCCACAGUGUUUCAUUCAUCAACAAAUAAAAUAAACAUAUUUACAGAAUGACAUCUCCCAUCAAACCUUCAUCAAGACUCUCCUCCUGGUGAUUCUCCAUUUUGUCAAGCUGACAGAACUAGUACACCUUCGUUCUUUGAAUCCAUUCGGCUGUCUUCAGCCCUGAACCACUCCAUGGCUCACUCCAUAAGGAGCUGCUAUUAGCAUCAACAACAGCACAAAGAAGGGAUGCUCAGAGACAAGGAGAACACAUGGGAAAAUGUGCAGAUGUACCGUGGAAGUGUGCUACGCAUCACUGCCUGUCAUUCCAUCACCACCUCACACCUCUAUCUUGUCUGUGAUGUAUCGAUGAACCCAGAACCACCAGCCCAAGGAUGGAAUUGUCUGCAGUGAACUGGGCCCUCCCGUAUCAACCAUCAAUCAAGAAACUGCCCUGCAGACUUGUCCACAAGCCAAUCCUAUGGAGACAUUUUCCCCAUCAAGAUGCUUUCUUCCCAAAUGUAUCUAGGUUUGUGUCAUGGUGACAAAAACAACCGGCACAUGUGGUGGGUGACUCUCAUUUUCAUCACAAACGCCUUAGAUCACUGGAACAAGCAGGAUACGCCCCCAUAUCUAGGAAGUUUGUGCUUGUGUUAAUCCCAACUUCGAGAACAAGACAACUACCACAAUUAGAGCCAAAUUUGAAGCAAACUUGAUUAUUUUUAUUGGGGUACACCCAAGAGCUGGC
rnacentral:lncRNA from 1 species